CUUUUCGCUGGUCGCUCACGAGCACGCCCAGCGCGUCUCCGCCGCCGGAAUCACCGGGUGAAGACGAGCCCUUCCACGCUUUGCGCGCAGCCCGCCGCGCGGCCAAGCUCUUGGAUAAAGACUGCUGCCAGAUCAGAAAAGGAUGCGCAGGAGCUUUCACAGAAAAGGACUGAAGCUUGCAAGAAAAUGUAAGGCAUUUGAGGCAAAGCUGUCUUAUCUGCACCAAGACUCCUCUUCUCGCAGCACAAGGCACUAUCUUCCAGAGAGCUGCUACUUGCCCUGGCAUCCCUACUACUAUGUCUAGUAAUGUGGGUAGCACAUGUGUUUUUAGGUAGGCAACAUAGAUUAAUUCCUUUUUCCUCAGAGAAAACAUUGUCCUUACCCACUGGAUCUUCUAAGAUAAAAAUAUACCCAAAAGAUGCCCCAACAUAUAACAAGAACACAUGCUCCACUAUGUUCAUGGCAGCCAUAUUUAUAAUAGCCAGAAGCU